rnacentral:rRNA from 1 species
UACGAAGGGGGCUAGCGUUGCUCGGAAUCACUGGGCGUAAAGCGCACGUAGGCGGACUCUUAAGUCGGUGGUGAAAUCCUGGAGCUCAACUCCAGAACUGCCUCCGAUACUGAGAGUCUCGAGUCCGGGAGAGGUGAGUGGAACUGCGAGUGUAGAGGUGAAAUUCGUAGAUAUUCGCAAGAACACCAGUGGCGAAGGCGGCUCACUGGAUCGGUACUGACGCUGAGGUGCGAAAGCGUGGGGAGCAAACAGG